AUGAGGAGUCAGCACCGUGGUACAUCAGCUGACGGAUCAGAAGAGAGUGGUGACGUCGAUUAUGAAUAUGAUGAUGAUGAAGAGAGCAGAGGGCCAGCUCCUUUAUGCCGGCGCUGCAUGGCACGACGCACGAGAGCCUCUGCACGCCCAGUGAGUAAGGUUGGCUUGCUUAGUCACGCUCGGUCAUGCUCUAAUCGCUGUCCGCUGUGUGGAGCACAUGAACCGAAAAGAACAAGACUCCCCCUACCUGCAGACGAAAGUUCCAACCAAAGGGAAGCUUGGCCAUUGAGCUCCACACGCAAAGAGAAAAGGGCUACCCUGCCAUCCCAGUGGCAUUGUCUUCCCACCCAAAGCCCCUUUACCUCCCCCAGAGUGAAGAUAGAGGGCACAGGUCAAGGGUCAGAGGUCAUCACAGACGCUCCCUCUCCACGGGCAUGUGGCUGGCUCCCAGCACGCCUCAGAACCGCACCACGGCUGCCUCCGGCAGCACGCGAAAGGUCCCGUGGCACACAACACACUCUCUCACCUCGGGACUGCGGCCCCCGAGCCCACCUGUGAGGUCCUGCGUCGGCUGAGCCCCUUACCGUGCCCCUGUGUCGCUACUGAUCUCUGCUGCUCAGAGGAGCUUCCCCACUCUCCCUUACUGGAGGACCCUUAGGGUCUGCUGGAUAAGAAUCUGGCACUGGACUAUGGAAAAUGCACCUUCAUCUAAACUAUGGCAGCUGCACUGUGAUAAGCUUCAAUAAAAACAUACUGCACUUUGAGAGAAUGUUUAUGGAAUAUGUAGCCAUUCUUUGAGAUGCAAAGAAGGCAAGUACUUGUGCGGUAUUUGCUUUCACCAGCUGUAGAUGUGUGUUAUGUAAUACUUCUGCGCUGUGAUUAUUAGUGCAAUUAUAAGGCAUUAAAUUAGAUUUAUAUUUAGUCACUUUUUAGUAAUGAGAGCAGUUUUCACAAUGAAAACUAUUAAGGUAUAUUUGAUUUUUUUUAAAUAAACUUUAAAUGUUUAGAUUUGGUAUUUGUGCUCGAUUUAUUUUGUUUGACUUAUAAGAGCUAGU
ensembl:lncRNA